CAACACUCUAGUGGCAUGCUCUAAACACGUUGUAAAAAAAUUAGACACGUUCAACCACAUCUCAUCAUUCACAGGGAUAUUUUAGGAAUUCUCCUGCUCAAAGCCAGCCUGGACUUGCUUAUGGUUAGCUUGUACUUGUGUUUUUUCUUCUGUUUUGUUGUCUUAUUAUGUUACCAAAACAUAUAUAACAGCAACUCAUGUCUCAGUCAUAACCCAACUCUCUGAUUGAAAACCACCCAAUUCCAUUACAUACUUUACAGUGAAAUCCCAAUGGAAUAACACAAAAGUAAUAAAAACUAUGAAAUUGAGUCCUCCUUGGACAUAACCAAAAUUUCAUUACACAUGAAUGAAGAAAUAAACCUGUACAAAAAAUGUGCU
rnacentral:lncRNA from 1 species